rnacentral:rRNA from 1 species
GAUGAAUGCUGGCGGCGUGCCUAACACAUGCAAGUCGAGCGGCAGCGAGGGGUGCUUGCACCCUGUCGGCGAGCGGCGAACGGCUGAGUAACGCGUAGGAAUUUGCCCCAAAGUGAGGAAUAACUGCCCGAAAGGGUAGCUAAUGCCGCAUAUGGUCUUCGGAUUAAAGGAUUUAUCCGCUUUGGGAGAAGCCUGCGUUGGAUUAGGUUGUUGGUAGGGUAAUGGCCUACCAAGCCGACGAUCCAUAGCUGGUCUGAGAGGAUGAUCAGCCAGACUGGAACUGAGACACGGUCCAGACUCCUACGGGAGGCAGCAGUGAGGAAUCUGCCACAAUGGGCGAAAGCCUGAUGGAGCAACGCCGCGUGAAGGAUGAAGGCCUUCGGGUUGUAAACUUCUUUUAUGAGUGAAGAAUAUGACGGUAACUCAUGAAUAAGCACCGGCUAACUACGU